rnacentral:rRNA from 1 species
AGAGUUUGAUCAUGGCUCAGGAUGAACGCUGGCGAGAUGCCUUACACAUGCAAGUCGUACGAGAGUUUUUAACUCAAGUGGCGGACGGGUGAGUAACACGUAAGAAUUUGCCUUUAGGAGGGGGAUAACAACUGGAAACGGUUGCUAAUACCCCAUAUGCUUUCGAGUGAAAUGGAUUUUUCCGCCUAGAGAGAAGCUUGCGGCUGAUUAGCUUGUUGGUAAGGUAAUGGCUUACCAAGGCGACGAUCAGUAUCUGGUUUGAGAGGACGAUCAGACACACUGGAACUGAGACACGGUCCAGACUCCUACGGGAGGCAGCAGUGGGGAAUUUUCCGCAAUGGGCGAAAGCCUGACGGAGCAAUCUCGCGUGAGGGAUGACAGCCUAUGGGUUGUAAACCUCUUUUUUCAGGGAGGAAAACAAUGACGUGUACCUGAAGAAUAAGCAUCGGCUAACUCCGUGCCAGCAGCCGCGGUAAGACGGAGGAUGCAAGUGUUAUCCGGAAUCACUGGGCGUAAAGCGUCUGUAGGUGGUUUAAUAAGUCAACUGUUAAAUCUUGAAGCUCAACUUCAAAAUCGCAGUCGAAACUAUUAGACUAGAGUAUAGUAGGGGUAAAGGGAAUUUCCAGUGGAGCGGUGAAAUGCGUAGAGAUUGGAAAGAACACCGAUGGCGAAGGC